rnacentral:lncRNA from 1 species
GGACACCAAUCAUUUUGGACUAGGACGCCACCCUAGAAUCUCAUUCAACCUAUAUUCCCUCCUUAAAAGCCGGCCUCUGGGCUGCAGGGUAGAAGUCAGUAAGGAGUGACCACCUGGCAUGUUGAAGGUUUGUUUCCCAGCGUUAUUACCACGAUUGGCAGCUGAAGACACACCGAGCUCGCAGGACAAGAAGCAGAACAGGUUCCCUGAAGCGGUGUUCCUCACACCAGGACGUGUGGCCAGAAAUGCACAUCCUGGUGACCCAUGAGAGAGGAAGCAGUAAACACAUCUUGGCGAGGCUCCCAGUGCCUACAGAAAGCUAUUUUGGGUGAAGAUACAGUGUCCUGACACCUCUCUUUCUGAAAACUCCACACAGCUACUGAAAUGAACAUUUCCAUCUCCAUGGGCUCACAGACCACUGAGUAACAGAAAACACUGUUGUAUUUCUGCCGACCAGCAUUUGGAAGCAGCCAGUCCUUCAAGCCCAGCCUACUCCAGUCCUCCUUGAGGAAAGAGUCACGGAUCACUCACUCGUCCCUGCCUUCCUCUGACUACCGUAAGGUCUCGCCCAGGGAGAAAAACCUCAACUGGAAUCACAGUGUUGCCAUUUCUGUUGGAUCCGAGGUGGUUUUGCAUCGAUUGGCAGUCCAGCAGUUUGUGCCCGGUGCCCAGAUCUGGAGACAACAAAAAGAACAAUAACUUUUUUUUUUCCAAAUAUCUUUUUGUGUAUGGGUAUUUUGCCUGAAUGCAUGUACGUGUACCACGUGCAUGUCUGGUGCCCGCAGAGGCUAGAAGAGGGGACAUUGGAUCUGGAACUCGAGCUACAGAUGGUUGUGAGUUGAUAUUUGGGACUCAGUACUCCGUCCUCUGUAAGUACACCUAACCACUGAGCUACCUUUCCAGUCCCUAGAAUGGUUCUUCUUGUUGUUGUUGUUGUUUAAAUAAUAGGUCCAAAAUGUUGUCUUGGUGCCUCCACCUACAUCCAGCUGUAAACUGAUAACAAGACUCCGGCCAUUACAGAUCAGAACCCACAUGUUAAUGCUUUAAUCAUGUAUCUACCUCAACCUGAGAAAGCCAACACUCCCUGUGUUCUCUUCUGUGUGUUAGACAGGGUGAGAAAGAUGUGAUGGUUCAGGAAAGAGGUGGCAGGAGCACACCCAGUGCAGAACAACACGAGACAGGAGGAAUAAGCAUGAUGUAGCAGGAGCUCAAAGGAACCGAACGGCACAUAUGGAAAGGCAGACCGUAGGAGGUGGAAUGGGACUGCCGAGAGCAGAAUGUUAGAAGGUUGGUUAAGA